GUUGUGGUGGCUCAGGGGUUAAAGCUUUGAGUUACAGACAGAAAACCAUGGGUUCAAAUUCCAGCAGCACCA